UACGAAGGGUGCAAGCGUUACUCGGAAUUACUGGGCGUAAAGCGUGCGUAGGUGGUUUGUUAAGUUCUGUUGUGAAAGCCCCGGGCUCAACCUGGGAAACUGGGCAAUGGAUACUGGCAAGCUAGAGUGCGGUAGAGGGUAGUGGAAUUCCCGGUGUAGCGGUGAAAUGCGUACGAGAUCGGGAGGAACACCAGUGGCGAAGGCGGCAUACCUGGACCGAGCA
rnacentral:rRNA from 1 species